UAUUUGGAGAUAUUCGUGUAUGUAACUAAUCAAAGGUUUAAAAGUUUUGGGCAGCUUUAAAAAUGUCUGAAUUAUGUACAAGAAUUUUGUGAAACCAUAGAAGAAAUGCUAAUGAAACAUGAGAGAAUACUUAGAUUUCAAGAGCCAAAUUUUAUUUUACAGUGAUGAAGAUGGACAGAGAACAUCCUGAUGAAAGACAAGAGUGAUUGAACAUGAGUGGAGAGGAAGGACUCAUUACAUACAAGUACCAGAUGCAAAUAUCAUCAAGUUCUAAUCAGCAUGGGAGAGCAUUGCUUGGGAAAUGUGUGCUCUAGCUCAGGGCACAGUACAGAACCUGGAAACUCUUCUCAUCCUUCAUACACUCUGAUCCAAAUAAACCUUGCUUACUUAAAAACAGAGCAAGACUCCCUCUCAGAAAAAAGAAAAAAAAGUAAAUAAAAAGUAAAAAAAAACACAAAACUAUUAAUGUAACCUUUUUUCUUUCCUUUUAACUUUCUCCUUCCUUUUAAAUUUUGAUUUCAUUUUCUUCUCUUUUGUCUCCCAAUUCAUUGACACUUGCUUUUCCUGGCCAUCUUUCUCUAUCUUAAAAAACUUGUAGGAUCGAUGGUUGCACCUGCGAUGACUGUGCUUCCAGAGAGGCAGUGCCAGGCAGUAAGGAUGUGGGAGAGGGUAAAGUCAGCGCAAAGGCCUCCAAGAAGGGCAGUCAGGUGAGAAGACAGAAAGAGAGGCUCACACAGAUGGUGAAAUGAGGCAGUUGUGCUAAACACUCACCCAAAAUUUCCUUUGGCCCCCACAGUUCUUGAAAAUCAUUUCAAAAAUCAUUUCCAGAAAAAUAAGGUCUUGUAGUGCUGCUGUCUUUGACUACUAAUCAAAGAACCAAGGUGGAGAGGUAGGGGCAAACUAGGGAGAGGAAGAUGCAAAAGAAAGAAAACGGAUCAUGAAUUUACCACACACAGAAUCAGGCAUUCCCAGGUCUGAGACCAUGAGUAGUUUCUCUCUAUGGCUGGGACCUGGGGCCUGGAACCUGACCUCAUGUUUCUGGCAUUUCAUAAUGAAAAGGUGAAGGAAGUACAAAGACUAAGACAACUUAUUGAUUUUUCCUCUUCCCUAUCUAGUUAUCUUUCUGUUUACCUCCUG
rnacentral:lncRNA from 1 species